rnacentral:rRNA from 1 species
AGACGGAGGGGGCUAGCGUUGUUCGGAAUUACUGGGCGUAAAGCGCGCGUAGGCGGAUGGGCAAGUUGGAGGUGAAAGCCCGAGGCUCAACCUCGGAAUUGCCUUCAAAACUGCUCAUCUAGAGGCCGGGAGAGGGUAGCGGAAUUCCCAGUGUAGAGGUGAAAUUCGUAGAUAUUGGGAAGAACACCGGUGGCGAAGGCGGCUACCUGGACCGGUCCUGACGCUGAGGUGCGAAAGCGUGGGGAGCAAACAGGAUUAGAUACCCUAGUAGUCC